AUGAACGCUAGCGACAGGCUUAACACAUGCAAGUCGAGGGGCAGCGGGGAGUAGCAAUACUUCGCCGGCGACCGGCGCACGGGUGAGUAACACGUGUGCAACCAACCCCGUACCGGGAGAUAACCCGCGGAAACGUGGACUAACAUCCCAUGAGACUCUAGAGCCGCAUGGCUCUAGAUUUAAAAUUCCGGUGGUACGGGACGGGCACGCGCGACAUUAGGUAGUUGGCGGGGUAACGGCCCACCAAGCCGACGAUGUCUAGGGGUUCUGAGAGGAAGGUCCCCCACACUGGAACUGAGACACGGUCCAGACUCCUACGGGAGGCAGCAGUGAGGAAUAUUGGUCAAUGGGCGAGAGCCUGAACCAGCCAAGUCGCGUGAGGGAAGGAUGGUCUAUGGCCUGUAAACCUCUUUUGUCAAGGAAGAAUAAGGAUGACGAGUCAUUCGAUGCCAGUACUUGACGAAUAAGCAUCGGCUAACUCCGUGCCAGCAGCCGCGGUAAUACGGGGGAUGCGAGCGUUAUCCGGAUUUAUUGGGUUUAAAGGGCGCGUAGGCGGGACGGCAAGUCAGCGGUAAAAGACUGCAGCUAAACUGUAGCACGCCGUUGAAACUGUUGACCUCGAGACGAGACGAGGGAGGCGGAACAAGUGAAGUAGCGGUGAAAUGCAUAGAUAUCACUUGGAACCCCGAUAGCGAAGGCAGCUUCCCAGGCUCGUUCUGACGCUGAUGCGCGAGAGCGUGGGUAGCGAACAGGAUUAGAUACCCUGGUAGUCCACGCCGUAAACGAUGCUCACUGGAUCUUGGCGAUACACGGCCAGGGUUCAAGCGAAAGUAUUAAGUGAGCCACCUGGGGAGUACGUCGGCAACGAUGAAACUCAAAGGAAUUGACGGGGACCCGCACAAGCAGUGGAGUAUGUGGUUUAAUUCGAAGCAACGCGAAGAACCUUACCAGGUCUUGACAUCGAGUGACGUACCUAGAGAUAGGUAUUUUCUUCGGAACACAAAGACAGGUGGUGCAUGGUUGUCGUCAGCUCGUGCCGUGAGGUGUCGGGUUAAGUCCCAUAACGAGCGCAACCCCUAUCGCCAGUUGCCAUCGGUUCAAGCCGGGCACUCUGUCGAGACUGCCACCGUAAGGUGCGAGGAAGGCGGGGAUGACGUCAAAUCAGCACGGCCCUUACACCCGGGGCGACACACGUGUUACAAUGGCCGGUACAGAGGGCAGCCACGGGGUGACCCGGAGCGAAUCUCUAAAGCCGGUCGUAGUUCGGACUGGAGUCUGCAACCCGACUCCACGAAGUUGGAUUCGCUAGUAAUCGCGCAUCAGCCAUGGCGCGGUGAAUACGUUCCCGGGCCUUGUACACACCGCCCGUCACACCAUGGGAGUCGGUAACACCCAAAGCCGGUCGUCUAACCUUCGGGAGGACGCCGUCUAAGGUGGGAUUGAUGACUGGGGUG
rnacentral:rRNA from 1 species